GCCAUCUCUCCUGCCCUCUGCGGGGGGACCUGUGGGGAGGUCACAGCAGUCAGUGUAUCUCUGCCUCGCUUGCCCCCUGUGUCCUCACAAGCUCAUGUUCUCCCUUUGGCAUUUCUUAUAAACCCAUGACAAGCUUCCCUCCUACCCUGCCCUCCGCCAAGGACCAGAAAUCUGAGGUAACCUCGUGCCAGGAACUAUUUGCUAAUAAGUCAUUAGCUGCCCUCUGAUUUGAGGUCUGGAGGAAAAGUCUCUCCCAAGCAGCUUUGAAAGUGUGAAACAUCUUCAACUGAGUGAAGUGCUCUUUAGCCAAAGACUUUGCUUCAGUCCAAAUACAACAAACCAUUGGAAGCAGUGAGGGGAUUUCUCAGCUGUGUUUUGAAGGUGGGUUUUGACUGAGGUGAAGGGCAAGGCCCACCCUUAAUGGGGACCUGAAGGUGGAGGAAGCUAUUGGUUUUCACCACAGCUGCCGAGACAACCACCUGGGGAGCUGUAAGAACUACCCAUUGCUGGGCCACAGAUCAGUCAGAGCCCAACUUCCGUGCUUAGAGCUGGGCACUAGUGUGUUUCUGAAGCUCUGCAGCUCAUUCGAAGGCAUCUCUUCAUAGCAGUAUGAAAAUGGACUAAUACAACAGCAUUCACACCAGGAAGUGACUAGGAACACAGAGCUUCAAGCUUUGUGAGGCACGAGGUACUGGGGCCAUGAUACCAAGUGGCUUCCUGGAAGCCCCGGCAAGGAGUCCCAGGUGGUGUUCAGCAGCAAAAUGAGUGGUGGCCCUGGAAAGGGACCUGAAAACUACACAGCCCUGAUGAUCAGCUUCUGAGGGGAGCCCUCUGGGGGAAAAGCCCCCUCCUCUUUCCCAGAGCUGACUGGAAGGUCUGUCCCAUUCCACACACUGCAUUUGUUACAGGAAGGGACCAAGUGGGGUAAAAAAAGAACAUGGAACAGGCUGAGAGAGAGGGCGGCUCCAUUCAAAGGACCUAUGCCAAAAAUGAGAAUAAAGAUUGACCAGCGACUUUUGGUAGAGACCUGGGCACCCUGGCCAGUGAAGAGCUGGGGCCUGUGAGUACAGCAAAGGUGGAGUCCACAUUGCCACCACCUCCCCUCAGAUGCCGCUGCUCUGGGCUCAGCAGCACUGGGCAGUCUGCCCAGUCCUGCCCAUGGCUUUUGCUCCAGAGGAGCCCAGUGGUGACAGUGGGAGUGGAGGAGUGAGGGGCUGUCCCAGUGGAAGCCCUGGCUGCUGCCUUGGGUGGCACUGUUUCUCAAACGCUCUGGAGGCCCCAGAGGGCCAGGAGUCUGAAGACUUGGGUUUGAAUGGAGUUGAGAGAUUCUUGGAGCAAUGAUACUUGUUACAGAAAGAUUUACUGGGAACUGAAAAGGUGGCAUUAGUCUGGGAUGAUAAGGAGUUUUAACCCUUUGAGUCUAUGGUAUGGGAAAAAUUGCCAUCGGGAACCUAUUUUGUAUGGUUUUGCUUACUUAGUAAAUGUUUGUAAAAGCCUAUAUCUGUGCUUUUAAUGGGUUUGGGUAUUUUAGGGUGUGGAAUAGAUUUCCAGGACUUCUCUGAUUUAUGACGUCAUGCUGUGGAAAAGAAGGUUUGACUUCCUCCAUUCAGGACCAACUGGGAAGGGACUUGGGGAUGCCUUUGUUUAAACACUCCCUCUCACUUUUCCCAUUUGAAUUCUGUUACACUGGGGUUCCAAAAAAAUUAUUAAACAUUUUGCUUUGAAAACAGAGCUCCCUUUUUAAAAAUUAAUGUGGCUUCUCAGGGGGAGAUUGCAUCAGCCACCUUGCGGCAGCUCCUGCCAGGUGCCAGGAGCCUUUGUUUUGACUUCCUCAUUUUCUCUCAACUGACCUUUUAAUGUAGAGCAAAACAAAACGAGCCAAGAAGCCCAGGACCAGGCAUAUGGAGAAGGUGGUGGCCCCUCAACCUUUUUAUAUUCAGUCCCAGCUCCUAUGAGGCUCGCCACCAUCUGGUGCGACUUGGAACUUGAACUUGGAAUUCUCUAGUGAGGCCCAGCUUCCACUCUUGCCUUGUGCAGUCCAGCACCUGCUUAGCUGCUCAGGCUGUGUAUGAAUACAUUCCCAUCUGCCCAUCCUCAGCCACCCCCCAGCUCCUAAAUUCCUACCCUACUUUUUGCUUCUCUAAGUCCGAUCCAUGCAGCAUGAGCAUUCCUGGGCUCCUUCAGCCCACACUCUGGUUUAGCUCUAAAUUAGGAUUUAUUCUCCACUCUAGUGUCACAUCUCUGAGGAACAAUCUUCAUCUGUUUUGUUAUUCUGAUACACAGUAGGCACUUUUUUUUUUUUAAAUGAGUGAAUGAAAAUGCUACAUAGUCUCCCUGAGUUCUUUCAUGUACAAAUCUUGGUUACACAUCUUAGGACAGCAGAGCUGCUUGAGGGAGAGCUGUGUUUAAUGUCACAUGCGUGUUCAGCACAGUGCUGGCGUGGCCCAUCCAUGCUUUCUAUUGAACUAUGGACAGACUUCAGGAACUUGUGCAUGGAGAGGGUGAAGGUUAGUGCUCGCUUCUUUCCCUAAACUUUGUGCAGUGACAGCAUAUGGAUCUUUGGUUGGAAACCCCAGGCCUACCCUGGUUUUUGUUUUUUUCUUAAACAAUCCUGAUAAUGACACUUCUACCACAAUGAGCUUAUAAAUGCCCUUUAAUGAUAAGCCAGUGUUUCCUUCAGAGAGCAAAGGGGAGACUGCUGAGUCACUGUGACCAUUUUUAGAUAAACUUUUUCCUGUUUAUAAUAAAAUAACACAUGCUGAUUGCAGGAAACUGGAAAAUACACGAAACUGCAGAGAAAAGACUAAAAGUCAUCUAUACUUCAGGUCGUAGAAGUAACCACUCUGAACAGCACACUUCUUUUUACAGUAUUGUUUUACACCGUUGGGAUUACAUAAAAUACACGUUUGUAUCCCACUUCGUGAACAUCAUUCUACGUGAACUAGAAAUGUUACGUGAACUAGAAAUGUUACCUAAACACUAUUUUAAGGGUUCCAGAUAGCUGUAUCAAAGUUUAUGGUUUAUACAUAGAUGCUUUGUAACAUUAUUUUGUUAUGUUAUGAAUGCUAUGGUGAAUACUUUUGUGAAUCAACUUAUGUUUCCACCAGCAGUUUCAGCGAGUGCCUGUCUCAUCCCAUCCUCCCCAGUAUUGCAUAUUCUUGAGUCUUUUAUUCUUUGAUAAUGACAAAUGAUGAAUCAGUGAUAGUUUUUUUUCAUAAUGAGUAAAGUUUAACAUUUUCAAGUGUUUGUUGACCAUUUGUAUUUCUUCUUUUGUGAAGUGCUGUCAGUUCUUUUGCUAUUUUACAAAUAAUUUUGAGUUUCA